UACGUAGGGCGCAAGCGUUGUCCGGAAUUAUUGGGCGUAAAGAGCUCGUAGGCGGCUUGUCACGUCGGAUGUGAAAGCCCGGGGCUUAACCCCGGGUCUGCAUUCGAUACGGGCAGGCUAGAGUGUGGUAGGGGAGAUCGGAAUUCCUGGUGUAGCGGUGAAAUGCGCAGAUAUCAGGAGGAACACCGGUGGCGAAGGCGGAUCUCUGGGCCAGUACUGACGCUGAGGAGCGAAAGCGUGGGGAGCGAACAGG
rnacentral:rRNA from 1 species